rnacentral:rRNA from 1 species
UACGUAGGGUGCAAGCGUUAUCCGGAUUCACUGGGUUUAAAGGGUGCGUAGGUGGGUUGGUAAGUCAGUGGUGAAAUCCCCGAGCUUAACUUGGGAACUGCCAUUGAUACUAUCAGUCUUGAAUACCGUGGAGGUCAGCGGAAUAUGUCAUGUAGCGGUGAAAUGCUUAGAUAUGACAUAGAACACCAAUGGCGAAGGCAGCUGGCUACACGAAUAUUGACACUCAGGCACGAAAGCGUGGGGAUCAAACAGG